GGACCCGCACAAGUAGUGGAGCAUGUGGUUUAAUUCGAAGAUACGCGCAGAACCUUACCAACACUUGACAUGUUCGUCGCGACUUUAAGAGAUUAAAGUUUUCGGUUCGGCCGGACGAAACACAGGUGCUGCAUGGCUGUCGUCAGCUCGUGUCGUGAGAUGUUGGUUAAGUCCCGCAACGAGCGCAACCCUCACUUUUAGUUGCCAUCAUUAAGUUGGGCACUCUGAAAGAACUGCCAGUGAUAAGCGGGAGGAAGGUGUGGAUGACGUCAAGUCCUCAUGGCCCUUACGGGUUGGGCUACACACGUGCUACAAUGGUAGUGACAAUGGGUUAAUCCCAAAAAGCUAUCUCAGUUC
rnacentral:rRNA from 1 species